GACGAACGCUGGCGGCGUGCUUAACACAUGCAAGUCGAACGGAAAGGCCCUGCUUUUGUGGGGUGCUCGAGUGGCGAACGGGUGAGUAACACGUGAGUAACCUGCCCUUGACUUUGGGAUAACUUCAGGAAACUGGGGCUAAUACCGGAUAGGAGCUCCUGCUGCAUGGUGGGGGUUGGAAAGUUUCGGCGGUUGGGGAUGGACUCGCGGCUUAUCAGCUUGUUGGUGGGGUAGUGGCUUACCAAGGGUUUGACGGGUAGCCGGCCUGAGAGGGGGACCGGCCACAAUGGGACUGAGGUAGGGACCAGACUGCUACGGGAGGCAACGGGGGGGAAUAUGGCGCAAUGGGGCGGAGCCAGAUACAACCACGCCGCGUGCGGGAAGACGGCCUUCGGGUUAUAAACCGCUUUCGCCUGUAACGAAGCGUGAGUGACGGUAAUGGGUAAAGAAGCACCGGCUAACUACGUG
rnacentral:rRNA from 1 species